AUCGGGCCGUGACAGCGGGCAGAGUCACACAGAGCAGCCGGGGUUCAGGCUACAUUCCUGGGCAGACCAAGACACCACAUCCGGGGUGAUGGAGCAGACCAAUUCAAUCCGAAAUUCCUCACUUUUGGAUAUAUACAAACACCCACUUUGAGCAAUGGAGCUUAGUUCUGCAAAUUUGUCUGCGGUGAAGAUAAUUU